rnacentral:rRNA from 1 species
GACGAACGCUGGCGGCGUGCUUAACACAUGCAAGUCGAACGAAGUGGCGAACGGGUGAGUAACGCGUAAUCAACCUGCCCUUCAGUGGGGGACAACAGUUGGAAACGACUGCUACUACCGCAUCCUGAAGUCGGGGAUUGCGUCUGAUUAGCUAGUUGGAGGGGUAACGGCCCACCAAGGCGAUGAUCAGUAGCCGGUCUGAAAGGAGGAACGGCAAAAGUGGGACGGAGACACGGCCCAGACUCCUACGGGAGGGAGCAGUGGGGAAUCAUCCGCAAUGGAAGAAAGUCUGACGGAGCAACGCCGCGUGAGUGAUGACGGGCUUCGGGUUGUAAAGCUAUGUUAAUCGGGACGCGGUACCGGAAUAGAAAGCCACGGCUAACUACGUGCCAGCAGCCGCGGUAAUAC